UACAGAUGGUGAUAUUAGACUUUAUGGUGGGUCUAGACCUAACCAAGGAAUACUUCAUGUUUGUAGUAAUGGAAUCUGGGGAACUGUCUGCAGUAAUAGCAAAUGGAAUAACAUUGAAACUGAUAUUGCUUGCUUUCAGUUGGGAUAUUAUAGCUAUGGUCAUUCAUCCAUCAGAGGGACCACUAAUGGACUGUUUCCCAUCAUUUAUUCUUAUUUCAAUUGUCAGGGUAAUGAAGCAACACUAUUCUCCUGUAGUUCUGGACUUCAUUCUAGUAUUCAGUAUUGUACUAACAAUGUCAUUAAAUUAAACUGUGAAGCAAAUUGUACAUCUGGUGACAUACGUCUUGGUGGUGGAUACUAUUAUGGUCGUGUUGAAGUUUGUGUUGAAGGAAUAUGG